CGCAUACCGAGUAAGCUUCCGCUGAAGCCCGGGCGUGACAGGAACUAUUAAUUUUUUAUUUUUUUAGAAAUUUUUUAUUAAAUAUUUGAAAAUUGUAUUACUGUUUUUAAUUAUUUAAGUUUAUAUUUUUCAUAUUUGGAUGUAGCUAUUAUAUGGCAUAAAUACUUAAUAGUGUACUUGAAUAUGUAUUUUAGAACUUUAGUUUGUUGUAUGAUAUGUUUCGAAAUUUUGAAACUUGGAGAAUCGGGUUUCGGGUUUUUGGUCGGGUUCGGGUUUGUUCCGUAUACGGGUUCGGGUUUUCGAGUUCGGGUUUCGAGUUUUUGGUCCGGUUCGGGUUUGGAUAUGGAUUUUUAAAAUCCGUCGGAUUCGGGUUCGGGUUCGGGUUCGGGUUCGGGUUCAGGUUCGGGUUUCGGAUUUGGAGUCGGGUUCGGGUUCGGGUUUUUGAAAACCGGCCGCGAAUCCGACCCGUUGA
rnacentral:lncRNA from 1 species